rnacentral:rRNA from 1 species
UACAGAGGUCUCAAGCGUUGUUCGGAUUCAUUGGGCGUAAAGGGUGCGUAGGCGGCGCGGUAAGUCGGGUGUGAAAUCUCGGAGCUUAACUUCGAAACUGCAUUCGAUACUGCCGUGCUUGAGGACUGGAGAGGAGACUGGAAUUUACGGUGUAGCGGUGAAAUGCGUAGAUAUCGUGAGGAAGACCAGUGGCGAAGGCGGAUCUCUGGACAGUUCCUGACGCUGAGGCGCGAAGGCCAGGGGAGCAAACGGG